GCCUGGCGUUGUGGCAUGUGGCCUAUAGUCCCAGCUAUUGGGGAGGCUGAGGCAGGAGGAUGGCUUGAGCCCAGUUCUGGGUUGAACGGCACUAUGCCAAUCUGGAGUCUGUUCACACUAAGUUCAGUAUUAAUAUGGUGACCUUCCUGGAACAGGGCACCAUCAGGUUGCCUAAGGAAAGGUGAACUAGUCCAGGUCGGAAACGGGGCAGGUCCAAACUCCUUGCAGUUCAGUAGCGGGAUCUCACCCACGAAAAGCCACUGCGCUCCACCCUGGGCAACACAGCGAGACCUUGUCUCUG
ensembl:misc_RNA Metazoa_SRP Metazoan signal recognition particle RNA